UGGUAAUGUGGCUGGUGAGUCCCUCUGCGGCCUGCCCUUGGCAAGCCCAUCCAAGCCUCGUGUGCGCUGAGACAACACCCCGCAGCUGGAAGCCGCGCUGGGCUGUACUGCGCUGAAGGAAUCACUGACUACUGUCAAUUCAGAGGCAACGAACUGACUUUAGAGAAGAGGCAUUUUGAACCAUUCUUCAGGAAACACAAGCUGAGGAGGUGGUGGAUGAUGGAGCGGUUCAGGGACUGCAGCAGUUGGAGCUCUAAAGCAGGCUCCUCUGCCUACUUCAAGGAAAGGCUACUCAGGCUUCAUCAGGGGAAAGCUACGAAGCGGAUAGGAGAGGAACAGCAACUGCAUGUGGGUCCAGAGAAUGUCUACAGGAAAGAAUCUGGCACCCAGUGAUGGAGCUCUGCUUGGGACAGAAACCAUGGGUUUGCUGAUGUAGUGAUGGUUUUUCACUGUUGAAGGGAGAACACUGGAGAAAACUGGAAGAGUACAUCUAGAAUUAUUCCCCAUUUCAAGCAGGCCGGCAGUCUUCGACAGCAUCUACACUUUUCAUUUAUUCUUGCUUUAAUGCUAAUACAAGAGUAAAUUCCAGCAUAGCCGAGAUGAUGGGGAGUUCUCUUAUUCACCUCUGGGGUUUUAAUCUAACAGUGCAUUUUCAAACUGAAUAAGGUUCAGCAAUUCAGCAUUAAAUGGGCCAUUCAGAGUUAUUAGCCUUUUUUCAUGCUGCAUGUUUUCAAUCUGCCGCUAAACCUGGGUAUCAGGUUCACUAGCUUUCAGGUGAGCCUGGAACUAUUCUGAUCUGGUAAAAAAGAAAAAAGUUUGUUGUUUAGCUAUGAGUAUCUUGGUCCCUUCAAGAGGCAGGUAUAAAAUUCCUGGUUAAUAACUACUUCCUCCAGUAGGAGAAACCAGACAGGUAUUGCACACAGCCACCUUGUCACAAGUCUGAAUCUGGCUUUCAUACUGCAGUUUUCCCAAUGACUAUAUAUAAGUAAAAAAAUCUCCCAAAAUUGAAUGAAUGUCAUAGUUUUUGUUGCAGUGCGUUUCUCAGUAGCCAUGUCUCAGUAGAGACAUCACUGAUAUGACAUUUAAGAAAAUGUGUCAUGAACACGAAGGUGUUGAAGCAGUG
ensembl:lncRNA